rnacentral:lncRNA from 1 species
UUAUACUUUUUAAGGAUCAGAUAGUAAAAUGUAAGCACAUGUACGAAUAAGACAAAUAAGAAACGUUUAAUGAUGAUCUAACCGAGUCAAUGAUUAAUCGUAAAACUGAAUAUUAUUACACCCAAUAGUAAACAUUAAAAAUAGAUAUAAAAAAUCUAUCAUGUACGAGAACACGUGCGUUACAAAGAUAUAAAGCAACAAAGAAUUUAGGUUAGUAACGGACGAAUAAUAAGCUAGAAUAAUCUCUUAGUUU